rnacentral:rRNA from 1 species
UACGUAGGUGGCGAGCGUUGUCCGGAAUUACUGGGUGUAAAGGGCGUGUAGGCGGGGCGGCAAGUCAGAUGUGAAAUUCCGGGGCUUAACCCCGGCGCUGCAUCUGAAACUGUCGUUCUUGAGUGUCGGAGAGGAAAGUGGAAUUCCCAGUGUAGCGGUGAAAUGCGUAGAUAUUGGGAGGAACACCAGUGGCGAAGGCGGCUUUCUGGACGAUAACUGGCGCUGAGGCGCGAAAGCGUGGGGAGCAAACAGG